UUAAAUUGAAGAGUUUGAUCAUGGCUCAGAUUGAACGCUGGCGGCAGGCAUAACACAUGCAAGUCGAACGGUAACAGGA
rnacentral:rRNA from 1 species